rnacentral:rRNA from 1 species
GGCCAAAUUGGGAAAUGAGUUACCAAAUUUUAAAAUUCCCCCUUUAAGACCGAGGGACACCAAUUGGGAAGGGGGCCAAAGGUUCCUGGGUGCCCCAGGCCAGGCCGGCGGGUAAAUUCCCAGGCUCCCAAUAGGCCGUUAUUAUUAAAAGGUUUGCUUGGAGGGUUUAAAAAGCCUCCGUAAGUUGGAAACCCUUGGGGCCCUGGGCUGGGCCCGGUCCCGCCCUCACCGGCGUGCCACUGGGCCCGGCCCGGGGUCUUUUCCCUCCUGGGGGGAGCCCGCAUGCCCUUCACUGGUGCGUGCCGGGGAACCAGGACUUUUACCGUGAAUAAAUUGGAUCGCUCAAAGAAGGCCUAUGCUCGAACAGUACAGCAUGGAAUAAUAAAAUAGGACGUGUGGUUCUAUUUUGUUGGUUUCUAGGACCGCCGUAAUGAUUAAUAGGGACAGUCGGGGGCGUCCGUAUUCAAUUGUCAGAGGUGAAAUUCUUGGAUUUAUUGAAGCGAACUACUCGAAAACAUUCGCCAAGGAUUUUCAUUAAUCAGGAACGAAAUUAGGGGACGAAGCGUCAGAUACACGAUCUACCAUAACU